UACGGAAGGGGCAAGCGUUGUUCGGAAUCAUUGGGCGUAAAGGGCGCGUAGGUGGCUCUGUGUGUCUACCGUGAAAGCGUACGGCUCAACCGUAUUUUGUCGGUAGAAACUGCAGGACUUGAGGCUGGGAGGGGCUGGUGGAAUUCCCUGUGUAGCGGUGAAAUGCGCAGAUAUCAGGAAGAACACCCGUGGCGAAGGCGGCUCUCUGGGACGGUACUGACGCUGAGACGCGAAAGCGUGGGGAGCGAACAGG
rnacentral:rRNA from 1 species